rnacentral:misc_RNA from 1 species
AACAUUCUUGUGGACAGCUUUACAUAGUUGAUUGCUCACUAAUGUCGAAAGGAUGAGAAGGCAUCUCUCUAGUACCAGUUCGUGUUAUCUAAACAUGGGCCAUGAAGAAACUAUUAUCCAUGCUUUGCGUAAUUGUUCUUUUGCUUCAAUGGUCUGGCGCUCUCUCCUUCCAACUAGGAAAUGGUCUUCUUUCUUUGAUGGAAGUGCCAGUGUUUGUAACUGGAUCUCCCAGAAUUUAUUUAACUUUUUGUUAAAGAGUAGAUGGCAUCUAUUGGGCACUUAUAUUUGGGAUUGGUUGUUGGAGGAUUUGGUUGCAUCGUAAUAAAGUUAUUUUUCAGGACUCUCAAGAUAUUGUUGAAGGGGUUAUGGCUGGUAUCCUCAAUUUAGCGAAAGAUUCUCUUCAGGUUGAGUAGGCUUUGAGUCUUCAGGAUUCAUUGAUGUAGUGUGAGUAUUGUUAGAUUUCUUAGAGUUCUCCGCCAAUGGGUUGGUUCAAGCUGAAUACGGAUGGUGCAAUAAAGGGGCAUGGUGGAUUUGCAUCAGGGGGUGGUUUGAUUAGAGGAAAGUUCAGGCAGUGGAUUUGUGGCUUUGUGGGGCAAUGGGUAGUACUCUAUUCAAGCUGCAGAACUAUGGGCAUUAUUUGAAGGAUUGAAAAUGGCGAAGAGCAUGGCUAUUACUAAAUUAUUGGUAGAAUGUGAUAACAACCUUGUUGUCUCAUAGGUUACAAACUUGAAUACCCCCUGAAGUGUUCACUGCUCACUAGUGAAAGCAAUUAAGACCCUCUUAUCUUUAGGCUAGGAAGUAAAGCUUAGCCAUAAUUAUAGGGAAGGAAACUGCCGUGUUGAUUGGUUAGCUACUUUUGCUGUGAGGUUCCCAUUGGGUGUUCAUCAACUGGCUUCUCCCCCGGCUAAUCUUCUUUCUUUUCUCCUUCUUGAUCAAUUUUCUAGCCUCUACUCAACUUGAUAUGCAUUGUAAUUUUUUUUUUCAUUAAUUUUACUCUUCAAUGUAUCAUCAUUUCUUUUUUUUAUUUAAUGAAAAAAUUAUUUAAA